rnacentral:rRNA from 1 species
AUUGAACGCUGGCGGCAUGCUUUACACAUGCAAGUCGAACGGUAACAGGCCGCAAGGUGCUGACGAGUGGCGAACGGGUGAGUAAUGCAUCGGAACGUGCCCAGUCGUGGGGGAUAACUACUCGAAAGAGUAGCUAAUACCGCAUACGAUCUAUGGAUGAAAGCGGGGGACCGUAAGGCCUCGCGCGAUUGGAGCGGCCGAUGUCAGAUUAGGUAGUUGGUGGGGUAAAGGCUCACCAAGCCAACGAUCUGUAGCUGGUCUGAGAGGACGACCAGCCACACUGGGACUGAGACACGGCCCAGACUCCUACGGGAGGCAGCAGUGGGGAAUUUUGGACAAUGGGCGCAAGCCUGAUCCAGCAAUGCCGCGUGCAGGAAGAAGGCCUUCGGGUUGUAAACUGCUUUUGUACGGAAAGAAACGGCUCUGGUUAAUACCCGGGGCUAAUGACGGUACCGUACGAAUAAGCACCGGCUAACUACGUG